rnacentral:rRNA from 1 species
UACGGGGGGGGGCAAGCGUUGUUCGGAAUUACUGGGCGUAAAGGGCUCGUAGGCGGCCAACUAAGUCAGACGUGAAAUCCCUCGGCUUAACCGGGGAACUGCGUCUGAUACUGGACGGCUUGAGUAUGGGAGAGGGAUGUAGAAUUCCAGGUGUAGCGGUGAAAUGCGUAGAUAUCUGGAGGAAUACCGGUGGCGAAGGCGGCAUCCUGGACCGACACUGACGCUGAGGAGCGAAAGCCAGGGGAGCAAAGCGGG